GCCAUCACAGCUGAUUGUAUGAAGCUUGGCCAGGACUCAAGGAAAACCAAUCUAUAGAUGUGACAGCAGCCUAUGAGGUCGGGGCCAGGUGCUUGCUGAAGGAAGUAGGGUCGACAGGAUCAACCACAUCUUUGACAGAACAGGAUCCAAAGGGGAGUGAACUCUUAUUCCUGCAUACUUUGUCUGACCUGGCAAUACCUGUGGGGGCUUUGGCAGAUCUAAGCUAUUAAAGGGAAGAGAACAAGGGCUCCACUUUUGGAGUCAAAUUGUCUGGUUGGGAUCGCAGUUCCAUCAAAUGGCCAUUCACCUGGCUCUUUAAACCCUAUUUUCUGUAUUAUACCAUGUGGCUAAUAAUAACACCUAUUUUAUUGUUGUUACAAGGAUUAAAUGAGACUAUCAGUAUAGAAGCAGUUUUCAGAGUACUUGGUACAUAGCAGGUGAUCCAUAAGUUAUAUCAAUUAUAUAAAUGUUGCUAAUUUUUUCUGAAUGUCCCAGGUCUGCCUCUGGAGCCUCAGAGAGUUGAGGGGAAAGAGGGAUGAAGGAGAAUCCUUGGAUAUAGGCUAAUGUGGCCUAGAAAAAGAUCUUCUCCUCUCCCGGUUUAUGUUCGUUAAAAUACUCAAAACAUUUUACUACGUAUCUAAGGGAAUUAGCCAUGUGGAGAGAGAAAAAUAAAAUCAACAACAGUGAAAAGAAUGAUCCUGCA
rnacentral:lncRNA from 1 species